CACGUAGUUAGCCGUGGCUUUCUGGUUAGAUACCGUCACACGCAUAACAGUUACUCUAUGCGCUGUUCUUCUCUAACAACAGAGCUUUACGAUCCGAAGACCUUCUUCACUCACGCGGCGUUGCUCCGUCAGACUUGCGUCCAUUGCGGAAGAUUCCCUACUGCUGCCUCCCGUAGGAGUUUGGGCCGUGUCUCAGUCCCAAUGUGGCCGAUCACCCUCUCAGGUCGGCUAUGCAUCAUCGCCUUGGUAGGCCCUUACCCUACCAACUAGCUAAUGCACCGCGGGUCCAUCUCUUAGCGAUAGCUUGCGCCACCUUUCCUCACGGAAUCAUGUGAUCCCAUGUCCUAUGCGGUAUUAGCAGUCGUUUCCGACUGUUAUCCCCCACUAUGAGGUAGGUUACCCACGUGUUACUCACCCGUUCGCCACUCACCUUGACCAAGUGCAAGCACUCGGUCGCGGUUCGUUCGACUUGCAUGUAUUAGGCACGCCG
rnacentral:rRNA from 1 species